rnacentral:misc_RNA from 1 species
GGAAGAAAUAGCAAAAUCGUAAAAACUGUGAGAUACAUCGGAGAAGAAUUUCAGUUUCCCGGUGGUCCGGCAGCCGGGAAAUGAGAAAAAGUGGCGUUCCACGGCGGAGGAGAUUAAAAUUGUGAUUUUGGGGAAUCGAUGUUGAAAAAAUGAAUAAAUAGUGAGUUGAUAAUAAACUAAACUACUUUAAAAAGUCAGCCGGCGGAAGAGAUCAAACAAAAAGGCAUAAUCAGUAAUCAUGUCCAGUAGGAUGUAAGCAUAUUUAUGAUUAAUU